UCCCGCCCCAACCCCAGUGUGAAGCCGGUCGCGUGUCCCGGUGUCCCUUUGCUGGGGAGCCUCCCUGUCUCCUCGCCGUGCCGAGGGGGGACAGGUGGGCCCCGAGGAGCACCGUUUGCUUCUGGGCUGACGCUGAAAGCUCCCUAGAGAGCGCCUUGCAAAGCAGCAAGUUACCACUUUUUAACGGGAAAAAUAAAAGGAAAACCCGUCGUUGUUCAGGAAGCGCCGCCGGACAUCAGCUCCGUUCUAGGGCAGCGUUUGGGAUCUUGGGUGUAAAACAGUAUAAUUUUGAGAGCAGGGGGUUGAAGUGACGGAGUUAUUCAUUGUGUCACUUACUUUCAAAAACUGAAAUGGAACAGAGAUGCAUGCAGUAAGGCUCUGGGUGUCCCGACCUGGAGCUAGUGCGACACGCACCCUAAUUAACACAGUGAUGCUAUUACUACCUCUCUCUCUGUCUCUCUCCGUGGCGACAGUGAUGUAGGUGUUCAUCUCUCACCCUUGCACACCACCGCACCCGAGUGUGUGUCACAGGUGUCUCGUGCAGCCACACUUGGUGUGGAGACAAAGGCGGCUCAGUGCUGCCCCCCGGUGGUGCGCUCCGAGCGCUGCAGCCGGAGGAGCGGCGCCGCGGCGGGAAGCGACCGCGCCGCUCGGUGCUGCCCCCCUGUGGCCGCCUCGGGCUAUUGACGCAGCCCGUGCAGGCGGGCCACAAAGCCCUGCUCACAGCCGCCCCCUGUGGCCGCGCCGAGCAUUGCGGCGGGGGGACCCGGGCGGGCAUCCAAGCGGGCUCCGCGCUGCCGUCGUGGGGCUGGGGCGGGGCUUGGAGCCCGGAGAGAAGGACCCGGGACAAAGCCGGCUUCGUGCCGCCCUCGCUGCUCGUCUCCCUGUGCGGAGCAGCCGGUUUUUGAAGGUUGGGGUCAGCAGGGAAUGUCCAGGGGGCUGUGCCCCCCAGCAGUCACUCCUUCAGACCAGCACUGUUCAGUCCCGGGCAAAGUGACUCUUCCUUCUCGCCGCUCUGCCAGGUGAGUUCACAUCCUGCUGCCCUAAAACGCCCAAAAGCCUUUGAAAUCCGGAGACCUUGGCACGUUGUGAGCCUGACCAGAGCACCAGGGAGCCCUCAGCGUCUUCCCAUGUGCCCAGACAGGGCCUGGCCUGAUGCAUAUUCUUACCCUUUCUUCUGUCCAGGUGUCCGUUCUCAGAU
rnacentral:lncRNA from 1 species